GUUUUUUUAAGAUACCUCCACAGCUAAUUCUUCUCACACCAGUAAUAUAAAACACAUUAAUUCUUUUUUCCCUUUGUAAAAGGAAAUAUGUGAAUGUCACAUGCUCUCAAGAGCCCAAAUUGAGUUCCUCUGGCUGAUUUUGUGCUUUCUUCAAAUUGUAUUUUUCUAAACAAUGGAGGGUGGGAAAUUGAACAAGCUGGUUUGGAUUUUAUGAAGAAAAUCCAAAAGCCCAGAUUCUCAGCACACAGAUGAGAAUGAAAUGCUUAUGUAACAUUUCUAAAAGUAAUACCAGAAACCCGCAUUUCUUUCUAGAAACUGAGUGAUCUGGGAGCCGAUACAAAUUUUAUAAGAGUAAUAUGUUAAGGUAGAUUCAUGUUUAUGUGUUGUCAUUGAAAAGCUUUAUAAAGAUCAGGUUGGAAAAAGCUAGUUUUUGGUAAAACAAGGUGAAAUUCUAACAGCUGACCAGAAAAUAAGCACAAUUUAAUUUCUGUGUCCUGAUUUGGUUACUUGCUUACAUUGCAACUUUCUCAGUAUUCCUUACAAUAGUUAAGAACUAUACAGUCUGGAAUGUACUUAUCAUCAUCAUAAAAAGUAAGAAAGUCUCUCUGUCUCCAUUUUAUAGGUAAGGGAGGGGACUAGAAGCCCUGCAAGGAACCUGAGUUUCCCUGAGAGUCCCACUCCCUGGCCUAAGUCUGCCUAAAUCCAGACCUAAUGGCUAGCCAUGUCUGUUACUGUGAGAAAACAAACUCAUUCUGAAAAUACAGGCUCAUCAAUAUACAAUCUGCGCUGGUUUAAUACGUGACAAGGAGGCAAGCCAGCAGUGGAGAACAGCAAUGGAUAUGAUGCAUUUAAGCAAGCAAGAGAAAUUAAGGACGAAAAGGCGGAAGAGUUUCUGAAAAAUCAGGUCUGAUUUCCCCGCAAUGGUCUCCAACCAGAAAACGUCACCAUGUUUACUCUCUAGCAUAUAAGAAGAACACCCACUAUCUCAAGGAUCCCCAUUGCCACAGUGGUAAUUCAGUUGCAGCAUUUACCCUCUGGUAUGAAAGUCCAGCUAUGUUUGAAAUAAAUGCUCUCAGCUGUAUGCCCAUAUUGUUAAUUCACACUGAAAUAGACAUCUUUACACACUAGUAUUACCAAAAAUUAAUA
rnacentral:lncRNA from 1 species